AUGAGCUGGAAUGUGCGCGGGCUGAACUUGCCGGCGAAGAGGGAGGUAGUACGAGAGGUAGCCGCGACCCAUAAAACUGCGAUUUUGUGCCUCCAGGAGACGAAGUUAGAUGUUUGGUCACCAGAGAUCGUUCGCGACAUAGGUGGAGGCAUGAUGCAGGGCUGCGCUGUGCUGUCGACAAUCGGCACGCGCGGCGGAGCUGCCAUCUUAUGGAACAAGGAUGUAGUCACCGUAGCCACUCAUGCCAUUGGGCAAUUUGCGAUCACAGCAAAGGUGACCCUAGUAUGCAACCCCUCUUCUUUCUGGCUCACUACGGUGUAUGGACCGACCGAUGACGCGAACAAGGAAGAUUUCCUCGCAGAGUUAGCUAGGACUGUGCCGCCCGCUGCCGAGCCCUGGCUCAUCAAUGGAGAUUUUAACUUAAUCUACGAGGCGAGAGACAAGAACAACCACAACCUGAACAGGAGGCUAAUGGGCCGUUUUAGAGCUGCGAUCGACGGGGCAGGCCUUCGCCAGAUCAAGUGU
rnacentral:rRNA from 1 species